rnacentral:rRNA from 1 species
UACGAAGGGGGCUAGCGUUGUUCGGAAUUACUGGGCGUAAAGGGCGCGUAGGCGGCCUUGUCAGUCAGAUGUGAAAGCCCCGGGCUCAACCUGGGAACCGCAUUUGAUACUGCAAGGCUCGAGUUCCGGAGAGGAUGGUGGAAUUCCCAGUGUAGAGGUGAAAUUCGUAGAUAUUGGGAAGAACACCGGUGGCGAAGGCGGCCAUCUGGACGGACACUGACGCUGAGGCGCGAAAGCGUGGGGAGCAAACAGG